AACCCGUGUGGCAGCCACCCACAGCAGAUCCACAACGUGAGAGGCCCGCUGAAACAAGGAUGCUGGCAUUGGUUACUCAGCCUGGCCCUCCCUGCCUCGCUGGGUGAUCUGCCUGGUCCUGGCCUCUCUUUCUGAAGACUGAAGUCCCACAUCAAGGUGUCAGCAGGGCCAGGCUGUCUCUGGAGGCUCUGGGGGAGGAUCCUUCCUUUCUGUUCCCAGCAUCUGAUGGCCCCCGACAUUCCUCGGCCUGGUGACAGCAUCUCUCCAGUCCCUGCCUCCGCCUUCAAACGGCCUCCUAUGGCUCGUUCGGAACACCACCUGGAUACGGCUGUGCUGCAGACCGGGCAGAGGACCAGCGCCGGCACCAAGACGGGCUGCCCUACAUUGAUGACUCGCCCUCCUCAUCGCCCCACCUCAGCAGCAAGGGCAGGGGCAGCCGGGAUACGCUGGUCUCGGGAGCCCUGGAGUCCACUAAGGCGAGUGAGCUGGACUUGGAAAAGGGCUUGGAGAUGAGAAAAUGGGUCCUGUCUGGAAUACUGGCUAGCGAGGAGACUUACCUGAGCCACCUGGAGGCACUGCUGCUGCCCAUGAAGCCUUUGAAAGCCGCUGCCACCACCUCUCAGCCGGUGCUGACGAGUCAGCAGAUCGAGACCAUCUU
rnacentral:sRNA from 1 species